rnacentral:lncRNA from 1 species
GGCUGACAGAAGAGAAGUGAAAAGGGAAGAAAUGGGAGCCCCGGGACAUUACAUGUCACACUCGGUAAGUGGUAUAUCCCAUUUGAUCUGCUCCGGGGGGACACCUGAUGAGAUGGACCAAACAAGUGGAUAUAACAGAAAAGCUUGAAGGAUUAUAUUCCCCGUCUGGCAGCGUGGGAACGUGGAACUGAGAGGUGGCACAUGUUUGUGAUUGCCUCAAGAUCCUGCAGAGCGAGAAGCAGAACCCAGGAGUCCUGAUCUCAGCCCAGGGUAACAAUCACUAGACCAUCCUGCCUCCAUGAAUGAAGCAUACAGAAAAAGAAAGAAAGAGGUGAAUGUUAAGUGCAUUUUUCUUAGCUCUUUUUACUUCUCC